rnacentral:lncRNA from 10 species
GCCUAUGGAGGCAGGCAGGCCUCCUUGAGCUGUGGUGGGCUCCACCCAGUUCCAGCUUCCCAGCUGCUUUGAUUACCUAAGCAAGCCUGGGCAAUGGCGGGUGCCCCUCCCCCAGCCUCGCUGCGCCUUGCAGUUUGAUCUCAGACUGCUGUGCUAGCAAUCAGCGAGACUCCGUGGGCGUAGGACCCUCCGAGCCAGGUGCCGGGUAUAAUCUCCUGGUGCGCCAUUUCCUAAGCCCGUCGGAAAAGCACAGUAUGCGGGUGGGAGUGACGCGACUUUCCAGGUGCUGUCUGUCACCCCUUGCCUCGCCCUGCUUCGGCUCGCACACGGUGCGCUCCACCCACUGUCUUGCGCCCACUGUCUGGCACUCCCUAGUGAGAUGAACCCGGUACCUCAGAUGGAAAUGCAGAAAUCACCUGUCUUUUGCGUCGCUCAUGCUGGGAGCUGUAGACCGGAGCUGUUCCUAUUCAGCCAUCUUGGCUCCU